rnacentral:rRNA from 1 species
AUUGAACGCUGGCGGCAGGCUUAACACAUGUAAGUCGAGCGGUAACAGGAGAAAGCUUGCCUUCUUGCUGACGAGCGGCGGACGGGUGAGUAAUGCCUGNGAAAUUGCCCUGAUGUGGGGGAUAACCAUUGGAAACGAUGGCUAAUACCGCAUAGUAGCUUCGGCUUAAAGAGGGGGACCUUCGGGCCUCUCGCGUCAGGAUAUGCCCAGGUGGGAUUAGCUAGUUGGUGGGGUAAGGGCUCACCAAGGCGACGAUCUCUAGCUGGUCUGAGAGGAUGAUCAGCCACACUGGAACUGAGACACGGUCCAGACUCCUACGGGAGGCAGCAGUGGGGAAUAUUGCACAAUGGGCGCAAGCCUGAUGCAGCCAUGCCGCGUGUAUGAAGAAGGCCUUCGGGUUGUAAAGUACUUUCAGUGGUGAGGAAGGUAGUGUGUUUAAUAGGCACAUUGCUUGACGUUAGCCACAGAAGAAGCACCGGCUAACUCCGUGCCAGC